GACGAACGCUGGCGGCGUGCUUAACACAUGCAAGUCGAACGGAAAGGCCCUGCUUUUGUGGGGUGCUCGAGUGGCGAACGGGUGAGUAACACGUGAGUAACCUGCCCUUGACUUUGGGAUAACUUCAGGAAACUGGGGCUAAUACCGGAUAGGAGCUCCUGCUGCAUGGUGGGGGUUGGAAAGUUUCGUCGGUUGGGGAUGGACUCGCGGCUUAUCAGCUUGUUGGUGGGGUAGUGGCUUACCAAGGCUUUGACGGGUAGCCGGCCUGAGAGGGUGACCGGCCACAUUGGGACUGAGAUACGGCCCAGACUCCUACGGGAGGAAGCAGUGGGGAAUAUUGCACAAUGGGCGGAAGCCUGAUGCAGCAACGCCGCGUGCGGGAUGACGGCCUUCGGGUUGUAAACCGCUUUCGCCUGUGACGAAGCGUGAGUGACGGUAAUGGGUAAAGAAGCACCGGCUAACUACGUG
rnacentral:rRNA from 1 species